AUGGGAGCUUGCUCCCUGAUGUUAGCGGCGGACGGGUGAGUAACACGUGGGUAACCUGCCUGUAAGACUGGGAUAACUCCGGGAAACCGGGGCUAAUACCGGAUGGUUGUCUGAACCGCAUGGUUCAGACAUAAAAGGUGGCUUCGGCUACCACUUACAGAUGGACCCGCGGCGCAUUAGCUAGUUGGUGAGGUAACGGCUCACCAAGGCGACGAUGCGUAGCCGACCUGAGAGGUGAUCGGCCACACUGGGACUGAGACACGGCCCAGACUCCUACGGGAGGCAGCAGUAGGGAAUCUUCCGCAAUGGACGAAAGUCUGACGGAGCAACGCCGCGUGAGUGAUGAAGGUUUCGGAUCGUAAAGCUCUGUUGUAGGGAAGAACAAGUGCCGUUCAAAUAGGGCGGCACCUUGACGGACCUAACCAGAAGCCACGGUAACUACGUGCCAGCAGCCGCGUAUACGUAGGUGGCAAGCGUGUCCGGAAUUAUUGCGCGUAAAGGGCUCGCAGGCGGUUUCUUAAGUCUGAUGUGAAAGCCCCGGCUCAACCGGGGAGGGUCAUUGGAAACUGGGGAACUUGAGUGCAGAAGAGGAGAGUGGAAUUCCACGUGUAGCGGUGAAAUGCGUAGAGAUGUGGAGGAACACCAGUGGCGAAGCGACUCUCUGGUCUGUAACUGACGCUGAGGAGCGAAAGCGUGGGGAGCGAACAGGAUUAGAUACCCUGGUAGUCCACGCCGUAACGAUGAGUGCUAGUGUUAGGGGGUUUCCGCCCCUUAGUGCUGCAGCUACGCAUAGCACUCGCUGGGGAGUACGGUCGCAGACUGAACUCAAGGAUGACGGGGCCGCACAGCG
rnacentral:rRNA from 1 species